rnacentral:rRNA from 1 species
AACGGUAGAUUCACGUAUUCAUGCGUGAUAUGAGAGUGGCGCACGGGUGCGUAACGCGUAUGCAACCUACCCUAUACAGGGGGAUAGCCCGGAGAAAUCUGGAUUAAUACCCCAUGGUACCAAGUUGAGGCAUUUUGAUUUGGUUAAAGAUUCAUCGGUAUAGGAUGGGCAUGCGUCUGAUUAGCUAGUUGGCGGUGUAACGGACCACCAAGGCGACGAUCAGUAGGGGUUCUGAGAGGAAGGUCCCCCACACUGGCACUGAGAUACGGGCCAGACUCCUACGGGAGGCAGCAGUAGGGAAUAUUGGGCAAUGGACGAGAGUCUGACCCAGCCAUGCCGCGUGCAGGAAGACGGCGUUCUGCGUUGUAAACUGCUUUUAUCUGGGAAGAAAAGGCCCAUGCGUGGGACAUUGCCGGUACCAGAUGAAUAAGCACCGGCUAACUCCGUGCCAGCAGCCGCGGUAAUACGGAGGGUGCAAGCGUUGUCCGGAUUUAUUGGGUUUAAAGGGUGCGUAGGCGGCUAUUUAAGUCAGUGGUGAAAGACUCCGGCUCAACCGGGGCAGUGCCAUUGAUACUGGAUAGCUUGAGUAUUGGAGGGGUACAUGGAAUUGAUGGUGUAGCGGUGAAAUGCAUAGAUACCAUCAGGAACACCGAUAGCGAAGGCAUUGUACUGGCCAAUAACUGACGCUGAUGCACGAAAGCAUGGGGAGCGAACAGGAUUAGAUACCCUGGUAGUCCAUGCCGUAACGAUGAUUACUCGCUGUUAUGUCUUUAUGAUGUAGCGGCCAAGCGAAAGCGUUA